GAAAUGCGAUAAGUAAUGUGAAUUGCAGAAUUCCGUGAAUCAUCGAAUCUUUGAACGCACAUUGCGCCCUCUGGUAUUCCGGGGGCAUGCCUGUCCGAGCGUCAUUGCGAACCCCUCAAGCACGGCUUGUGUGAUGGGCCCUCCCGCGUCUUGGUCGUCAAGACGGGCCCGAAAUGCAGUGGCGGCUUCGCGGUUAUCCUAUCAGCCAGAGCGUAUGGGGACUCUCUCUCUUGUCACACGCCCGCGGCGCGGACCGACGCCUGUCGACCUUUAUUCAUCUUCUCUCGGUUGACCUCGGAUCAGGUAGGGAUACCCGCUGAACUUAAGC
rnacentral:misc_RNA from 1 species